GUGGAAAAAAUACGAACGCUACGCAGGAAGUCAGAAAUAAAGUUUAUUUAAGGACUACUCGGAUCAACAACUUAUUGUACAAAUUAUUCCGUAAGGCGUGGAAAAUUGCACCGUCUAAUUCCUGAAUCUUUAAUGUAUAGCGUUGCGAUGUCGAUUAGAGAUUUGUGCGGAAAAAAAUAAACACGACGAUGCGCAAGAAGCCUAGAACAAAAAAUAUUUAAAGGAUCAUAUCGACAACAUAUUGCAUAGACUAUUCUGCAGGAGUUGCACUGCCUAAUUCCUGAAUUUUUAAUGAUUUGUGCGGAAAAAAAUAACCACGACGUUACAUAAGGAGCCAAGGAUUUAAGGAUUUAUUUAAGGACUCAUAUCGACAACUUAUUGUACAGACUAUUCUGUAGAAGAUUGCACCGCCUAAUCCCCAAAUUUUUAAUGGUGAA